rnacentral:lncRNA from 1 species
AAGCAACUCCAAAAUCAAACAUCACAUGAACGUACAAGCAGUCUGGAGCCAAAAGAAACACUUCCACAACAAGCCUUUCUUUUAGAUACAUGGGAAGGUAAUCAAAACUCAUAAGAACUACUUAUAGCAGACACAUAACAUAAUUCUCCAGAAAACACAAUCAUGGACAACUAAUGCAACUUCAUGAUCUGGUUUGCCCACUUAUUAUUAUAUUCCAUUACAAUUUCGCCAGCGGAUCCUAUAGCUUUUCCACCACAUUUAAGGUUGAGGUGAAAACUAAUGGCAGUUUCGGUUAUACUUGGGUAGACGGGGCUUCUUCUUAGGAGGAGAUGGUGUAGGCAAGCAGGAUCUAUAAAAAAUUAUAAAAAUUAAUUUUUAUACUAGAGUGAGCCUAGACAACCAAUUGUCCAGAUUCGUUUUAGACUGAUUUUUUUUUUCAAAAUUAUAGAAAAUUUAUUUUAUUUAAGUUUUAUAAAUUUUUAAAACAUUAUUAAAAUUUAUAAAAAUAUUAAAAUUAAAAAAAAUAAAAAUUAAUAAAAAUCAUUUAAAAGUUAACUCCAAAAUUUAUUUAUAUAUAUUUUCUAAAAUAUUUUUUUGAACUUUAUUUAAUAUUUUGAUAAAAUUUAAUAAAAUUUUAAAAAUUUAUAAAAAAACAAAAUUUAAAACGAUUUUUUAUAAGUUUUAAAAAAAAUUUUAAAAAAAAUUUAAGUAUAAAUGAAACUGGACAACCAUUUAUCUAGGUUCAUUUUAAUGAAAAUUUAACUUUUAAUUUUUAAAAAAAUUUGUUUUUUUUUUAUUUUGUUGAUUUCUGCAAUUGUCAUUGAUUGGAGUAGCAUGUCAACAUCGUUAACGGCCACAUCAGAAUUAUAACGAUUAAAGAUAAUCAAAAAAUUUAAUUGAUACAAUUUGAAAAUUUACUUAUUAUAUACGUUUUUCAUUAAAAAACUUAAUUAAUUUUUUGGUCAAAGUUAAAAGGUUCAUAUACGUUUUAGCUUAUAUAUAAUUAAAUGAAUGGAUAAUCCAACACAAUACAUCAAAGUUCUUAUCUAUAUAACGUUGAUAACGUUAAAUGUUAUUUGAUUGUAAUUUAACUAUAUAUAUAUAUAUAUAAAGAGAGUGGAAGCCAUGAGAAUGCAUAGUAUCACUAAUCAUACUUUUAUUUAUUUAUUAAUGAGUUGGAUAGUUUGGGCCUACUUCUUUUUCAAAGAUAAUUUGAUACCAACUACAACGAAAAAGUGAAGGUGAAGUUUACUUUUCAGAUAUUUAAAUUAAAUUUAAAUUUUAAAGUUGUUAUUGUCGAAAUUUGAGAGGGUUUACCUGAAUAUCAUUCUAACUUGAAUAAAACUAAAUUUAAAUUAUAAAAUAGAUAAAAAAUACUCGUAAUUUGAUCAAGUUUGGACAAAUAAAUUAUUAUUCACUUUAUAAUAAAAGGGUAAUGACACCCUCAUGGUCUGUAAUUUCCAAUGGACUUACGGCCAAAUCCAAGCUACUAAUUUUUAAGAAAUUUUAUAUUUGUUUUAAUAAAUUUUGUGAUAAAUAUCAAAAUUAUAUAUGAAUUUUGAUUUAAUAUAUAAUUUGGUACAUGAAAUUUGUGUAUAUUACUAUACUUUUAAAAACUAAUUGAAUAUAAAAUUAUAAAAUCCUAAAUCCAUCUUAACGUUGCAUUAAAAAAAAAAAGUUAAACUAUGUCAUCAAUCUCUGUAUUUUUCACUAAGUUAGAAUUCAAUCCCUAUAUUUUUAUUUUUACAAAUUUAGUCUCUUUACUUUUUAAAUUUCAAAGUUUUAGUCAAAUUGUUAACGCUAUUAACUUUUUUUGUUAAAUUUGUUAGCAUGAUAUUUUGAAAUUAAACAAAAAAUUGUGUUGUAAUAAACUUUAAUUUAACAAAAUAAUUUUAAUAGUAUUUAUAAUUGGACUUAAAUUUUAAAAUCUGAAAAAUAUAAAAUCAAAGCAUUAAAUUUUAAAUUUAUAAAAAUACAGGAAUUUAUUAGACAUUUUAACCAAAAAAAUUAUGAUCAGAAAUUUUCUGUGGAACUCUAAAAAAUUACGGAAUGUUAGAUAAAACCAACAAAAUUUACAAAGGGAGGACUGAGGAAAUUUCCAAGACAGGCAAUAACUGCACAAAAGAAAUUUCCAUAGAUUUUUGGCUAUUAAUUAAUAAUUAUUAAAUAAAUUUGGGUUGACCUCAAGUCUACUAUAAAGCAAGUGGAUGAGGCAUUAAUUAAAAGUGUACAUUUUAUUGACCAUUUCAUAGUUAUCAUAUGCUUGUUGAAACGUAACUUUCGAAAACGAAAGAUUAUGAAAUUUGGGUAGCAAAAGCAAUUAAUGAGUGCAUUAAAAUUUAGGAUAUGUUUUUCCUUUACCUCUUUUAUCUUAUUACGUUUGGAAAAAUUAGAAAAUAUUUGAUAUUCUGUCGGUAGAGUUUUUGAAUUUUACAAACAUAAUUAGAAAUUGAUAAAUGUUCUAUAAAAAUAUAGUAAAUUAUUAAAAAUAUAUAUAUAUUUAAAAAAGUCAUACAUAUUAGUAAAGUUAUGUCAUUCAAUAAAGAGAGAAUUUUGUGCUGUUAUAAGAAUAAUAAGUUGACAUGAGAAUUGUUGUCAAUAUAAGACGACAUGAGUUCGAGUGUGCUGAAGUGUAUUAUCCUCUUAAUUAUGGGCUGGGGAGGGGCUAUGGAUAAUUCUAGACAUUAUGUCAAAAAGAGCAGAUAUGAUCAGAACCUAUAAUGAUUUUUUUCAAUAAAAAAACAACUCUUGCUAAAGUAAAUUAUAUAAAAAAAAAGAAAUAAAAUAUGAAAUGGUAUAAAAAUAAUAUUAUUUAAUUAAAAUACAUAUGACGAAUUGAAGCUUAUAAAAACUCAUAACAAUUUAAAUAUAUGAAAGAAAAAUACCAACAUAUUAUGAAUAUAUUCUUUAAAUUGACUCAUUAUUAAAAAUUAUGCAAAUGAAUUUAGAUACAACAUAAUACCAACACACGGAUCAUUCUAUAAAUUGAGUUCUACGAUAGCUUAUGCAACACAAAAUAUGAUGCAAAAUUAACUUAAACAAAUCAUGUAUUCAAAAGCACGUAAAAAAUUAUAAACAAUUAGGGCAAAAUCAAAAUUUUUUUUUAUGGAUGCAUGCUUAAGUGGUAUGUUUUUACGAUAAUAAAAAUGUAAUAUUAUUAUUUUAAUAUUUAUAUUUUUAUAAUUUUUUAAAGAUUAAAUUAAAUUUUUAUUAUUUUUAGGGAGCAAAGUAUAAUUUUACUAUUAUUAAUUUAAAAUUUUAUAAACUAUAAAAAGAAUAAAAAAAAUUAUUUUAAGAAGAGUCGGGCCCUACCAACACCUAUUCGAUCCGCCCUAUAUACAACAAAUUGUUAGCAUGUAGAAAUAUAUUUAUAAUAUUUUGAACCCACGAAAAUAACACAAAUAUAAAUAUAGUAUGAAAAUAGCAUAAAUAGAUAAGCGUGGUAAAGUCGUCCCUGUUACAAUAUUUCUUUUGUGUCAUGAACAUGGUAGUCAGUACUGUAUUGGAACUGGUCGAACCAACUGAUAUGUAUCGUUUUGAUCUUAAACCGGUAUUCAAACAAUGUUUGUUCUAUUUCAAUUAAAAUUUCGUUGUGUUUCUGUCAUUUCGAUGUGUUUCGUUCCGUUUCAGUCAAUACCAACUUAUAUAAGUGUAUACAAAUUUUUGAUAGUUUAAACUAAUUUUUAAUUUUUUUUUAUCUUAACUAUUUUAAAUUCCUAUAUUUAUAUUUAAAAUUAAAAGCUAUUAAAUUAAAUUAUUGAACAUAAUUAAAAAUUUUAAAAUUUAUUUAUAAAUAAAUAUAUUUAUAUGGAUGUAAUUGAGAUAUAUUUACAUGUAUAUAUAAUAUAUAAUUUAUUUUUUAUAUUUAUUAAGAAACUAAAAAGUUAGACUAUAAUUAUAUAUAUGGAAAAUAUUUAAAUGUAUAUAUAAUUUAUUAAGAAACUAAAAAUGAUGCUAUAUAUAUAUGUGAAAUUUUAAAACAUCGAUAAACCCAUAACGAUACACCGAAAUAUGCAAGUACCGGUACAUACCAAUACCAAGAUAAAAAUAGUAUAUCCACCGAUACGGUUCUGACUAACUUAGUCUUGAAUCUACUUGUUAGCUUUUGUUCAAUAAUCAUAAUUAAUCAUAUUCAAUAUAUAUUAUUUUAAUAAAAACUUUGGCACAUUGAUAAAUUUUUACGUACUUUUUUAAUAAAUUUGCCUAUUUAUAAUAUUUUUCAUAUAUUGGAUUCGAAAUUUUUAUGUCUAAUUAAUGAUGUUGAAAGUCGAUUAAGUCUUACCUCGAUUGGCAUAAGCAUUAUUGCCAGUGUAGGAAGACGUGGGUUCAAGUGCGUUAAAGUGUAUUAUCUUCUUAUUUAAGGGUUGGAGAGGGGCUAUGGACAGUUUUAGGUAUUGUGUAAAAAAGAAUAGAUAUGACCAGAACCUAUAAUGAGAUUAUAUGAUAUAUCAUAUAAGAAUUACUAAAUAUUUGAAUUAUUUUACUUAUUUAUUAUUUCUUUAUUACAAAUUAUCAAAUCAAAUAUUAUAAUAUCAUGUACAGUAAGGUGCGGGUAUUUCUCUGAUAUUUAUAAUAUGAAAAUACCUUGUUUAAAAAUUUUACUUAGCGAGAGUUUGACAUUGUUGGUAGAAAUCUUGAGGGUAUAAUAUUGAAUCCCAUCAUAUAGAAUUUAUGUGUGAACUGAUUAGUGGAUUAAUGAAACCAUCAUGUUCUUGAUUGAAUCUUGAUUACUAGUUAUUAAAAGUCGUAAGAAGCCAUGAAGAAGAGCUCAAGAGAACUAGUUAUUGCAGCCGCACUACAUUGUAAAACGAAGUACAUAGUCUUAAAAGAACACAAAUCAUGGUCAACUAAUGCAACUUCAUGAUCUGGUUUGCCAACUCAUUUAUUAUCUGCAUAUGUUUAUAUAUAUUCCAUUACAAAUUCGCCAAUGGAUCCUAUUCCUUUAGCUUCUCCAGCACAUUCAAGGUUGAGGUGGAAAUUAAUGGCAGUGUCGAUUAUACGUGGGUAUACAGGGCUGCUUCGUGGGAGGUUGUAUGCAGGAUUUAUAAGGCAUUCCACGGCCACAUGGUACAGCAGGUUUAUUCCUCCUAGGAGUGUUAAACACUGGUCGAUCAUUGAUGUCUGCAAAAUUAACAGCCACAUAAUUCUGUGUUGUAUAUAUAAUUAAAACCAUUCAUAAAAUUGGAAGUCAUAAACUUGUUGAUGUAAUUACGUACCCUUCGCCACCAGUUGUCGAGCCAUGGUUGAAGUAGGGAUAAAGAGAGUGGAAGCCAGGAGAAUGCAUACCAUCACUAAUAAUGCUUUCAUUUUGGGGGGUAUAUUGUUGUUGUUAAUAGUAGGUAGUUUGUGUUAAGGAUGGCCCUUCUUUCGACUACUAUUUAUAGGUCGAUAUCUCAAGUGUGUUGUGGCUACUUUUCAAAGAUAAUUUGUUAAUAAAUUAUUAUUCACUCUAUAAAACUAGCAAAAUUGACAAAGGGAGGACUGAAGAAAUUUCCACGGCAGGCAAUGGGUAAUAGCUAUUGUCCCUUUCAGUUUCACUUUCUGUCUUUUUAUGACCCAUAUUUCCACACACAAAUCAAAUUUGUAGCUGUUGUCGCUUUCAUUAUUCUCUCACUUGGAAAAUUAGAAACAUUGUUAGUGAUGGACUUUAUGGAUUGAACAGGUAAGGAGAAAAUUUAUUCGUAAAAUUUAUGUUUACCGAUACAUAUAAGGUAUAAAAAUAUAAUUUGUUGGAUCGCAUUUAUAUUUAUUGGGUCUAGUAAUAAAGAGUUUGAUGUGUUUUUAGGUUUGGAUUUUAUGGAUGAAAAAACCAAUACCGAAAAAAUUUUACCCUCUAUUUCAGAACUCAAUUUAAUGAAAAAAAUCUUGUUCAACAACAAUUAUUUUAGAAAGAAAAUAGACUUUUAUUAUACACUUGAUAAAUUGAUUUUUAAUUUCCAAUGAUUUGAUUUUAAUUUUUCUUAUAAUAUUUAUAAUAUAUGAAAAUAUAAUUUAUUUGAUGGCUCUUAUUAUACAGUUGAUAUCAACUUUUAAUAUGCAACUAUUUAAUUUUAACUACAAUUCAAUUUUGUCAAUGAAAGAUAGCAACAUUCACCCUAAGUCUCAAAGGUUGUAUGUUAGAUCAUGAUAAUAUGGACAAAUAUAUUAAUUACCGAGUACUAUACCAACAACAAAUAAGAAGCAAACAUAGGACUAUGAGGUAUUACUUAUCUCUCAUCUUUACCUUUUUCAUUAAGUUAUAUACUUUUACUCUCUCCAUAAUUAUGGAGAACAAUCAAAGCGUCAAAACCGACACCCCUUAAUUUACCCUUGAGUCGUGCAGAUCGAGUCAAACCCCUUGAAGCACCUCAACAAGCCUGAUUUACAACAAUUCAAAGAAGACUAAUAUUUGGGGCUACCUUUGAGAACGAAGCGAAAAUCCAUGGCUUAAUCUUCCCAACUCGAUAAGCUUCAAAAAUAUUUUUGAAGUUUUUGACAAGUUCAUACUUUUUCCAAUGGAGAUUUCAGUUUCAUAAAAUUUCACAAAUACAUUUAUCUCCAUCUUUUUGGUUUAUCGAAAGUUCCUCCAUUUUUAGUUCCAUAAAACUUUCAUAUUUGGGUUUCAUAAAGUUUCCCAAACACAUUUAUCUCCAUUGUUUGGUUUAUUGAAAGUUCCUACAAAAGAGUUUCUUAAAUUUCUCAUCUUUGGGUUCAAAAAGUUUUCUAAGCAAAUUCAAUCAAUCUCUAUUUUUUGGGCUUAUUGAAGCUUCUACCUUUAAACUUGAUUUUUGGGUUUCUUAAAGCUUUCAUCUUCGGGUUUUAUUUAGCUUCCCAAGCACAUUCAUCUCUAUAUUUCGGGUUUAUUAGAGCCAUUUUUUAUUUCUUAAAGUUUUUUAUCUUUGGUUUCCAUGAAGUUUACCAAGCACAUUUGGUCUCCAUUUAUGACUUUCUUGAAGCAUCCUCCGUUUUUGGGUUUCUUAAAGCUACCUUCAUAGUUGGGUUUCCUACAGCUUUUCCAAUAUACUUUACAAUCGCGUCUGUAGCACAGAUUUUGCAAUCAAAAUUUCGUAGUCCAUCUGCAAUUACGAUUCUGUAGCACAGUAGCAAUGAUUCUAUAGUCCAAAUUCUGUAGGCACGAUCUACAGUCACGUCUAUAGUCUAGUUUCUUCAGUCACGAUUGUAUCAAGAUUCUGCAGUCACGUUUGUAAUCUGCAGUGAUAUCUGUAGUCCAGAUUCUAACCACGAUUUUGUAGUACAUAUUUUGAGGUUAUGAUUAUGAGCUUAUCAUUUUAAGGGUGAGUUUGGAUGGGCGGUGCGUUUAUCUGCGGUUAGUGUAAAAACAGCGGUGGCGGUAAAAUUAGAUACUGUAGCGAUACUGUAACGUGAGACAAAAAGUAAGCUAAACGCACCGCACUGCACUCAAUCGCCCAUCUAAACCCACCUAAGGCUACUCUUAGACUAUAUAGAAAAACUCAUAUCAAACUUCUGAUACCAACUUAAAUGGUAGAAGACCAAAAAUUCAAAUUUCAAAAACGUUAAUAAUUGAAUAAAAAAAUUUUAAUUGACUGAUCAAAAUAAAAAUACUCUCAUGAACUUCAUGUAGCUUACCUAAUAAAAAUACUAGAAAGAUAGGAAGGUUGAAAUUUAUAACAAAGCAACUCCAAAAUCAAACAUCACAUGAACGUACAAGCAGUUUGGAGGUAGCUUGAAUUAUCAAAAGAAACUCUUCCAGAGGAAGACUUUGAUUUCGAUACAUGGGAUGGUAAUUGAAAGCCUUAGGAAGCCAAUGAUGAUGAGCUCAUGAUAACUCGUUAUUGCAGACACACUACAUAUGAUGAAACAAACUACAUAAUAGUCUUGAAAAAAACACAAAUCAUGGGCAGGUAAUGCAACUUCAUGAUCUGGUUUUUAUAUAUUCGCAUUACAAUUUCGCCAAUGGAUCCUAUAGCUUGCCCAUUACAUUCAAGGUUUAGUUGGCUACUCUUAGCAGUUGUGGCUAUAAAAACAGGGUGAGUUCAUAGAAGGAGUUCCAGGUCCGCAGUAUUUAUAAGACUUUCCACGGCCACAAUUUCGAGGUUCAUUAUGUUCACCCGCCGUAGCAGUGGUAAACACUGGUGGAUCAUUGAUGUCUGCAAAAUUAACAGCCAUAUAUUUCCCAUUUUAUUUAAAUAUAAGGCUAAAGUGCUAUAUAAGCGGAUAAAGGUAUAUAAGCCCUUGAACUUUUGCAAAAAAAUCAAUUAAGCCCUCCGCAGAAAACGUACUCAAUUAAGUCUUCAAACUCUCAAAUUGCAUCAAAUUUUUAUUUAUAAUUUUGAUAAAUUUUAAUAAUAUUAUUUAUUUAUUUAUAAUUUUAAAACAUAAAAUUUAUAAUUUUUUAAAAAUUUUAAGUCAAAAUCAAAUUGGGCAAGCAUUUGUCCAGGUCAUUCUAGUAAUUUUUCUUUUUACUUUUUUUGAAUUUUUUAUUUUUCAAAAAAAAUUUUAUUUUUAUUUUGUUGAUGUCAGCAACUGUCAUUGACAUGGAGCGCCAUGUGAGCGCUAUUGAUGGUCACAUCAAUACUGUAACGGUUAAAGAUGAUCAAAGGACUUAAUUGAUGCAAUUUGAGAAUUUGAAGGUUUAAUUGUAUACACUUUUUACGGAGGGGCUUGUUGAUUUUUUCGCAAAAGUUCAAGUGCUUAUAUACUUUUAGCCUAUAUAUAAUUAAAACCAUCCAUAUGUAAAAAAAACUUAAUAGAAUUGAAUAAUCAACACAACACAUCCAAGUUCUUAUCCAUAUAAUGUUUAACAUUUUGAUUGUGAUUCAACUUUACUAUACUAAUGUUAUACAUAUUGCUUUAAGAUGGAAAAUAAAUGAAAAAUAGAAUAAAAGUGUUAAAUUUGUUGGAAAUGUGACUUAUCCUUCUAGAUAAGUUAUAAAAAAAAAUCAAUAUAAUCAGACAUGCAAAACACUCAAAUUCUAAACUAUUUAAUAAUAAUUUGACUAGUUAUUGUAUGCGUAUACAUGUAAAUAUAUUGCUUGAUUAUAUAAAAUAAAAUUGGAGAUUUCUAUAGAAGUAAUAAACUUGUUGAUGUGAUUACUUACCCUUCUCCCCCAGAUGUCGAGCAAUGGUGAAAGUAGGGAUAAAAAGAGUGGAAGCCAGGAGAAUGCAUACCAUCACUAAUAAUGCUUUCAUUUUGGGGGGUAUAUUGUUGUUAUUAAUAGUAGGUAGUUUGUGUGAAGCAUGGCUUUUCUUUCGACUGCUAUUUAUAGGUCGAUAUCUCAAGUGUGUUGUGGCUACUGUUCAAAGAUAGUUUGAUAAUAAAUUAUUAUUCACUCUAUAAAACUAGCAAAAUUGACAAAGGGAGGACUGAAGAAAUUUCCACGGCAGGCAAUAGGUUAUAGCUUAUUUCUGUUUUUUUUAAUAAUUUUAUUAUAAGUUCUGAUUAUAUUUGCUUUUUUACACAAUGUUUAGAACUACCUAUAGUCCCUCCCUACUCAUAAGGAUAAUGCACUUCAGCGCACUCGAACUUACAUUCUUUUACAUUGAAAAUAAUGUCCAUACCAAUCGAAUUAAAGACUCAAUCAGCUACCUUCUAUCUUUUUAUGGCCCAUAUUUCCAUACAAAAAUCAAAUUUUUAGCGGUUGUCACUUUUAUUAUUCUCACUGGGAAAAAUAGAAAUAUUAUUAGUGAUGAACUUUAUGAAUUCAAGAUGUAAGGAGAAAAUUUGAGGAUCAAAUUUAUGUUUAAUUAUAUACAAUAUAUAAAAAUAUAAUUUGUGCGAUGUCAUUGAUAUUUGUUGGGUCUAGUAGUAAGGAGUUGAAUACUUUUUUAGAUUUGAACCUUGUAGAUAAAGAAAACAAUUUCAAAAAAACUUUAACCUCCAUUUAAGAACCCAAUUCAAUUCAACUUCAAAUUUAAUGAUCAAAUAUUAAAGGAUCUCAUGAAAAAAAUCUUGUUCAACAACAACUCUUUUAGAAAGAAAAUAGACUUUUAUUUUAUAGUUGAUAUAUUAAUUUCUUAUUUCUAAUGAUUUGAUUUUAAUCUUUCUUAUCAUAUUAUAAUAUAUGAAAAUAUGAUUUGAUGGCACUGAUACUUGUUGGGUUCAGUAGUAAGGAGGUCAAUGCAUUUUUGGGUCCUAAUCUUGUAGAUGAAGACAACGACACUAGAAAAACUUUACCCUCCAUUUAAAAACCCGCCUUAAUUAAACUUCAAAUUUACUUAUCAAAUAUUGAAGGAUCUCAAGAAAAGAAAAUCAUUUUCUACAACAAUUCUUUUAGAAGGAAAAUAGGCUCUUAUUGUAUAGUUGAUGUAUCAAUUUCUACUUUGCAAUUAUUUGAUUUUAGUUACAUUUCAAUUUUGUUAAUGAAAGAUAGCAACAUCCACCCCAAGUCUCAAAUGACUUGUUAGACCAUGAUAAUAAUAAGGACAAAUAUAUUAAUUGUUAAGCAUUACUAACUCGUACAAUGUGGGAUCACUUCUUACACCAAUACUAAAUAAAAAGCAAGCUUGAGGACCAAUCAUAGGACCAUGAGGUAUUACUUGUCUCUCAUCUUUAUCUUCUUCACUAAGUUAAUAUACUUUUACUGUCUCCAUAGUAAUGAAUCCUUAAUUAACUUAAGUAUCAAAGAACAAUUAAAAUGUCAAAUCCGAUGCCCCUUAGCUUACCCUUAAGUCAUGCAGAUCGAGUCAAGCCUCUUGAAGCACCUCAACAAGUUUGGUCUACACCAACCCAAAGAAGACUCUAAUAUGUGGUGCUAACUUUGGGAACUAAGCGAAAACCCAUGGAUUAGUCUUAACGACCUAUUAAGCUCCAAUUCUUUUCCCAAGUUUUUGUCUAAGCUCCUACUUUUUCCAUUAGAAAUUUUAUAAAACUUUCAUUUUUGGAUUUUAGAAAGUUUCUCAAACACAUUUAUCUCCAUUAUUUUGGUUUAUCGAAGGUUCUACUUUUUCAAUGUCGGUCAACAAUUGAUCAAAAUAAAAAAUGUUUUUUUCAUAUUUAAAUAUUUAAUAUUAUAACUUUCUAUUUUUAAUUUAAUUUAAUGUUUUUAUUUUAAACAAAACUAAUUGUCAUGUGAAAUUUUUUCAUUGACCAAAACAUGCCACGUGGCACUUUUUCAUUGGUCAAAGUUGUCUAACAGUUUUUUUAACGUUCGUUGUAAAAUGAACCGAAAAUAGAGGAAAUUGAUACUUUAAGUACCAAAUUGAAACAAAAAAAAAGAUACUAAAGCAAAAAAACAAACAAACAGAUAUGCUUUAAGAGCUAAAUUGUAAUACCCCGGAAUUUGAGGUUAGAAGUUUUGAGGUUGUGGUUAGGGUCAUUGAAUAGGUCAAGCAAUUGAGUGGAUUUUCGCGUUAUAAUGUCAAAAUAAGCUUGUUGGUUCAGUGGUGGUGAAUGUGUUAGUUUACCUUUAUAUUUUGGGUUCAAGUCCUCAUGUGUGUUUUGAGGAAUUAAUUGGUUUUGGUUUUGGUUUUGGUUUUUAAUUUUUAAAGGUUUACUUUUAAAAUUUGAAAGAGGAGGUUUUUUAGUUUCACGUUCUUUUCCAUUUCCCUUUUUUUUGUUCCCUCUGUUAUUUUUUGGUUCUUUCCCCAAAUUUCAGUUCAUUUGAUUUCUUGUUUUGUCCGUUUUACACUUAAGUUAUGUGUUGUUUGUCAAGGCUGAUCAUCCUCGUGUGUUUCGUUUUAUCGAAGGUGAAGCGAAUAGGUUUUGCUCAUGAGGGUUUAUGAUAGAAUUGAUUCUAUUUCUAUUAUUUGUUAAUUGAAAUUCUUAUAGUUUAAGUUUAUGUGUGAAAUUGAGGUUUCUGAACAAUUUGGUGAGAGUGAAUCGAUCGGUUCUUGGUGCUUGACAUCGUGUUCUAAGGUGUGUGUUAUGAAAUGGUUUAACUUCGGUAUCGAGUUGCGGUGGAAUUCGAUAAUGUCUUGUGUGUUUCUAAAAUUGGUUAUUUGAAGUAUCAUAUUGUUACUGAAUUGCAUGAAAUUCUUUAUGUUUUAGCAUAAUUCUGGGUUACCAAGGGUUGGGGAUCAUUUUGACAUCAAAAGCAUGAUUUUCAAGUUGUUUCGACGUGGUUUCAUGACCACACGGGUGGCCACAGAAGCCUGUGUUGUACACGGGCGGUCCACACGGUCGUGUGCUGUACACAGGCGGUCCACACGACCGUGUGUAAUUGGGAAUUUAAGGUUUUUGAUGAUUUUUGGUACCACAUGACCUGGCCACACAGGCAUGUGUCCCCACACGGGUGUGUGAGAUCUCCAUACGGUCGUGUCUCCUCUGUUUUUCAUUUUUGGCACUUUUGGACAGUGAGUUUCACGGGCAACUCAUACGACCAUGUAAAUUGGUCACACGGGCAUGUGUCUCCUCCACAUGGGCGUGUAGGCCUCUAAACGGCCUAGACAUUUCCACACGAUUGGGGCACAUGGCCAUGUGGCCCUAUUUUGCAGAAUUUUUGUUUUGAGUCAUAAACUGUCUGUUUUAUGUUUCUAUGUAAUCCGACCCUUAGUCAAGCCUCGGUAAAUAUGUUUGGGAUUCGAUUUAGUUUGGUUCAUGUAUAUGUGUGUUUAUAGGCUUUCAUUUUAUUGCUCAUUUAUGUGAUGAAUAAGUAUGAUUUUAUUAUUGUUGUUGUAACUGAAUAUUAGAAUACAAGUGUAAUCAAAUCUGAAUCUGUUCAACUGGAAAUGUUAAUAUUCGUUUCUGUAUGUUGUCAGUGUAAUGUGUGCAUUGUUGCAUAGCAUGAAAAUUUUGGGAUCUGGUUAUGAAGAGAAGGAAGAUAAACUUAGUAGCUUUAACUGCGAUACUUUUGUACAGCAGUUUACCGCACUAUCCUAUACGUAUAUCAGCUCAGCUAAAUACAGUUUCUCAAGUGGCAUAGUUCCACAUUGUAGUAUGUAGGAUGAACCUAUUAUGGUUCUAUAUGGUGCGCAAGGUGGACGAGCCUACCAUAGCCCUAAUGUGGUGUGUUGGAUGGACGAAGUGGUGUUUGGUUGGUGGGGUGGGAUUUUUGAGGUGUUACAUAAAUUCUGGGGUGUUCGGGUGUUACAUAAAUUCUGAACUAAGCCUUUUUUAUUUUAUAAUAGCAGAAAAAACACAUUUUUUUAUCAUAUUGUAUUAUUGAUCCCAAUUAAUCUUAUAUCAGAUUUAAAAGAUAAAUGAAACAAUAAGUACUAUAGUCUAUAUCCAUAUUUCUUCCUUUUCCCUUCACUUGGAAAAUUUUAUAUAAAAAAAAUGCCAUUAAUCCAAGACUUUUUGCGGCGAAUUUUAGUAUAAAUGUCACUAUAUUUAUGGUGCCAAAAUAUUCACAUGAAAUUGUUGUGAAGCAGGUGAUGAAACUUGAAAUUAGUGACGUUUUAUACAGUAAACGUCGCAACUUUUGUCACAAUGGGUGGUGUGUUACUUUGAAAUGCAGCGGUUAAAAGUAAUACAUGGCGACAUUUUUUUCUAAAAGCACCACUAGUUAUGCCAUUGUAUGUAGAAUUUGAUAUAGUGCUUGGUCUCUCUCUAAUUCUAAUAUUAUCAUUGAUAUCUCCACUAAGAUCUUAAGUGAUUCUUUUUGACCCCUGAAUAAUAGUUGGAGUUGUUCAAUGUUGUUAUCUAAGUCAUCAUUUAGAUCAAUAAUAUUGGUUUCAUAAGUAUACAAUAGGCAUUUCAACAAUAUUUUUUUUUAUACAAUGCUUAGAAUUAUUUAUAAUCAUUCCUCAAUUCUUAAAUGGGAGGAUAAAUACAUUUUAGUGUGCUCAAAUUCACGUUUUCGUGUACUAGUAACAAUGACAAUACCAACAUUAACCAAAAUAAGACUUAAUCAACUUUUGUAAUAAUGUCUUUAAUGCUUAAUGCAACGGUGACUGAGUCAAGCACUAGUGUAGUUAAUAAAUUAUUAUUUAAUUUUUAAAUUAAUAUCUAAAUUUUAUAAAAUUUUGGCUAUUAAUUAAUUAUUAUAUAAUUCUUCUCAAAUGAUAGAAAUAUUGACUGACAUCAAGUCCAUUCACUAAGAUAUGUUUAUUGAUAAUUUCAAAGCUAUCAUAUUGUAGUUGAAAGAAAAGAAUCGAAAAUGAAAUAUCAAGAAAUUUGGCUGGCAAAAGCAAUAAAUGAGUGCAUUAAAAUUUACUACUUAUUUUUCACACAAAAUAAUUAUAGCUCUUUUCUUUUUCUUUAUGCACAUUAGAGGCGUUAAUAGGCAAGGUUGGAUUUUAUAUUUUUUUAAGCUUGGCCCGACUUAUAAUAAGUACUUGAUUUAUAGUGGUAUCAAAAAAUACGAUUUCGAGACUCUAUUUUCAUCAACCGAGUCCGUAAAUAUUAAAUAGGGAUAUUUACGGAGUUGGUGUAUAAAUAAAUUGAAAUUGGAUUAAAUAAUUUAUUCAAAAUUCUGGUUAAUUAAGACUUAAGGAUUAAAUUCGCUAUAAAUUUUUAAUUAGGAAAAUACUUGGGGACUUAAAUAGCGAUUAUCCAUAAGACUAAAAUAGUUGAUAGACCAACUUCAAAUAUACGAUGGUGGGAUGUGAUGUUAAAAUGUCUUUAGAUUAAAUUAAUUAAUGUUUAAUGUUUAAUUAACUUAAUUAAUUAAGUUUAAUUAUAUAUGUACAAGCCCAAUUUCGCCCGGGCCUAAACAAACAAAACAGGCCCAUACCAGCAAAACCCAAAACAAAACAGCAGACCCAAAAUUAAAACAAACUUAACCCAAACCCUCUACCCAAUUACAACCGGCCCAAUAACCCAACUACCCAAAUAGCCCAGAUCAGAAAAACAAACAGCAACCCUAACCCUAGGUCUUCUGACACUUAACCUACCAGCCGCCACCGCCGAACGUUAGUCACCAUCGCCCAUUGUCCUCACCUGCUCCACCUGCAAACACGCAAGCAAAAAAGGACAAAACAGCAGUAGAAACAAUAGAAAAAUUGUAAAAUGGCUAUUUAAAAGCCAUUCAAACAGAUCUAACAGAGGGGGAAUCGGUUUUAAAAAACCAAUCUUUGCAUCUGUAAAAGGUCUCUUUUUCACAAACAUUCAAGAAAUAAAAUACAACAUUUUCAAGAAGAUAUAUUUUCUGUUUAGGUAUUUACUUAGGUUAUUUUACUCCUAUUUUUAUUUAUUUUUUAUUUUAUAUACGAAAACAAAAAGAAAAGGGAAAAAGGAACUCACAGGGACUCGCUCCGUCUUCUCGCCGUCGGAGGCUCCUUCUCCGGUGACGGAACAGAUUGAAGAGAGGCAUAGCGGCCCUUUCCCCUUUAUUUUCGGUUGUUUUGAGGCUAGAUCUGAACUUAGGGGGUCGAGAUAAAAAAAUAAGUUUUUUUGCAUUCGCCAGCCACCGUGCGCGGCGGCGCCGACGCCGGCGACCGGUAUCCGGCACGGUGGCCAUUGGUCGGGUUAUGAACUAAAGGGGAGAGGUUUUUUUUGACUGAAAGUUGGUUUUUUUAGGGGGAAGCAGAUAAUGAAGCUUUUAAAAAAAUUUGAUUUAUAAAAGAAUAAAACGACGCCGUUUUAGGCCCUAGCUCCAGGCGCCAAAACGACGCCGUUUAAGAGCCAACCCGAUCUACCCGACCCGCUCCAGGCCAAGAUCAGCGUGUUUUUGAGCGGAAGGGCUAAUUCCGUUUUCAGCCCUUCUGCUCUUUAAUGAUUUUGCAAUCAAGUUCUUUUUGUUUUUUAAUUUCGCCAUGCGAUAUUUUUUUCUUUACAAUCUGGUCCGCUUUGAAGCUAUGCGUUUUGGAGGGACGGGAUUAUUUCCCUAUUGGUCCUCCUUCUUUCAGCGCGCGUUACAAUUUAGUUCAUUUUGUCCUUUUUUAUUUCGAUUUCGCCCCGAAUUUUUGGCUUUUACUUCGGUUUAGUCCCUUUUUUAGCAAUUUUAUUAUUAUUAUCAUAUUUUAUUAUUAUUAUUAUUAUUAUUAUUAUUAUUAUAUUAUUAUAUAAUAGCUUAAAUAUACAUACACGUAUACCUUUUUCUUUAUAAUUUAUUUAAUAUAUAAAUACUUUUUUAUAUGCAUAUCUAUAUACUUUUUCUUUCUUUUUCUCACGAAUAUAUUUUGUAUAUUGAAAUAUAGUUUCCUUUAUAUAUAUUUUUAUCUUAUUUUUAUAUAUCUCACAUGUACAUAUUUAUCUACAUAUCUUUUUAUAAUAUUUAUACGUAUUUAUGCAUCUUAUUUAUAUGUUACGGUUUAUUAUUUCACAUAUUAUCGAUUCGUUCUUUUUCUUUAUUUUAUUUUUAUUAUUGUCCGUAUUAUUUUUAUAUUUUUGUGUGCAUUAUGAUUUUACCAUGCAUAACAACAAUGUAAUUUGCUUUCACAUUUUUUUACUAUGAUUUUCGUGUUUUAUUUUACUCGAUAUAACAAAAUUUGUUUUAAAAAUGGCAUUUCGUGUUUAGAUUCGAGAAGAUCGUACCCUAACUUACUGGGUUUCGAUUUUCAUGAUAAAUCUAAAUGCACGAAUCUUUUCAAACUCAAGUUUUAAAUGAUCUCGGGAUUUAAAAAAAAUCACGUCCUAACUUACUGGUCGUGAUUCAUUUUUUUAAAAUCCGAGAUAGCUAAAAAAUAAGCAUUUUUUACGUAUCGGGAAUUCGAGACAUUGUGUCCUAACUUACUGGAUAUGAUUCUCUUUCUCGAUUAACGUGAAAUAUGCUUCUUUUCCCCAAAAUUUGCAUUUUAAUACAAGGAUCGCGUUUUUAAAAUUCUUCAAAGUUUUCAAUUUUCGACAUUAAGACAUUAACUAAUCAACUAGGUACCAAUUUUGGGCGUUACGAGGGUGCUAAUCCUUCCUCGUACGUAACCGACUCCCGAACCCGUUUUUCUAAAUUUCGUGGACCAAACUUGUUGUUUUAAUAAAGCUAAAUUGUUUAUUAAAAACAACCACUUUUCAAGGUGACCCGAUCACACCUCAUCAAAAAGGAUCGAUGGCGACUCCCAUUUUCGUUUUCUUUUUUUAAAACCCAAGUCGACCCCGUUUUCAUCCAAAAAAUGGUGUAAACAGCUUGGCGACUCCACUGGAGAAGUAAGAUUCAAGAGAGUCAAGCCACGAGUUGAUUAUUUCUUUUCUUUUUGUUGAAAGUUGAAAAUCUGAUUUAAAUUUACGAUCCUCUCAUUGCAUUUCAUUUGUUUUGAGUUAUGGUUUUCAUCAUGCUUCGUAUUCUAAAUUUUUAUAUCUUUGCACAUUACAUUGCAUGGCCGUUGGUCACUCCUUUUAAGUGGGAGUGAGAAACUACGCCUUCGUGAGGUUUUCACCUCCGCAUGGGAUAGUGAAUCGCUUCCGGGAUACAUCUGUACCUAUGUCUUUGUGAGAUUUUCAUCUCCGCAUGGCCAUAGGGACAUGUAUCCCCCUGAACUGAACUCGGUCCGCAUGAGCCUAUAAUGGGUGAGAAUCGAGGAAUCUGCUGGUUCGGGUACCUUUGCUUUAGAAUUAAACCACAUGUAGAGCACCUUAGGAUCCCACCCUAGGUAGAACUACUUCAAAUCCCUAGUGGUUACCCGACUAGGUACUUUUGUUUUCCUUGCUUGUUUAUGUUUCCUACUAACCUCUCUUGUCGUGUUUUGACUGAGAUUGAAUUGCAUUUGCAUCUUAGGAAGGAGAUAUUGAUUCAAGUUUGAUUACUAACUUAGAAAGCUUGUCAUGGAAUACGGGUUCCUUGAUAAAGUGGAAGACAAUACGCUUGCCUGACUAUAUUUUGAGAAACACAAGAAGAGCGAUGAAAGAGUUCGUGGCCUUGCUUCAUGGCCUGAGGAUUCAAGGCGAUCGUCUGAGAGCCUUCGACGUUCCAACCCCUUAAUGAAGCUGACGAGCCUUACGAAGAUGGGUAGAUGGUGGAUCGCGACCAAGAUCAAGAAAAGGAGCUGGCAAUGGCAUCUAUUGGCGAGAUUACCUCAAACGUGUGGAUAAAGAAAAAGAUCGAUAUUGUCUCUUAGAAUAUAAGGGCGAAGCCGUACAUGCCUCUGCUUUAUAUAAAGAAAUUUACUUUCUAGAAAAGUUUUCUAAAUAUAAUUGAAUCAGAUUCAAUGUCUCUUUAGGCAUUCAUUUCAUGCAUCUGCAUUACAUGCAUUAAAAUCCAUUAAAAGAGUCUAAUUGAAUAAAUUUAUUUCAGCUAACCUGGAAAACCAACCAACCCAACACUCAUACGGUAUCCAAGCAAAGGUUAGAAAAAUGGAACGAAGGUUGGAAAAAUUAGAGCGAAUGCAAAAGCAGAUACAGGAGCAAUUGACUGAAUUUCAACAGGAGAUGAGAGAUCAAAUGCUAGAAUUACGGAGAACCAUGAUGAGCCAGUUCAACCGAUUGCUAGCUGGAAAGUCAAAAGAAAUGAAAGACUCGGUGGUUUACUUUGGGGUAGAUAAUGAGGAUUUUGCCUAUUCCUUAGAUUGUACUCCGACAAGUGUCCAGGUCCAGCCAGAUGGGCGUCCACAAGGGGUACUCUUUACUAUCGGAUCCCAAUAUUAUCAGACUGGUACAUCGACACCAGUGAAUUGCCUGACAGGUCCAGGAUCCAAUUUGAGGAAUAAUUUAGCUAAUCCUAUUGCUAAUCUAGAAGAAAUAAAACAGAUGAGGGUAGAGUACCCAGAUACUAUAAAGGUCCCAGGGAAAAAGGAGAAUAAAAGGGAUAAUGCAGGCGGACGUAACAAGGGCCACUCAAAACCAAUCACUGUGGGCAGGCUAAAGACGGAAACCACCAGCCAUCAGAGCCCUUUAAAGCAAGAAUCUAGAGUGAAACCAGGUACUGAAAAGCUCCAGUUCACACCAAUUCCGAUGUCAUAUAAGGAGCUGUAUCAAAGCUUGUUCGAUGCGCAUGUUGUUGCUCCUCAUUACUUGAUCCCUUUACAGCCUCCGUACCCCAAAUGGUACGACGCAAACGCACAAUGCGACUACCAUGCUGUAAUUACGGGGCAUUCAAUAAAGAAUUGCAUUGCCUUCAAGAAGCUAGUCGAAAAAUUCAUCAACAUGGGUAUUGUCAAGUUGGGUGACUCAUCUAGUGCAGAAAGCCAUCUACCCAAUCAUAUUGAUAAUGGGAUGAAUGCGAUGUAUGAAGCAAUGUUGGAAAGUGUUCACAUCAAUGGCAUAUAUGAGGACAGAAUUGAAAAGGGAACUUGUUAGAUGACCCGCCCUUAUAAAUUUGGGAGCAUUCUAAGCGAUUGGACUGCAGAAGAAAUCCUUGUAGUUUUUAGAGCUUAUUUAGAGUAAUGUUCAGAACAUUUUUGUUGUUUUUAGCCUAAAAGUGAUAGAAAUUCCUUUGUGAAAUAGGCUAAUGUCUGAAGGUCAUUAUUCUAAUAAAAUACAUCUUUGCAUUCCUUUUUGAGCCAAUAUUCUUUCAUUCUUUUUGAAUAAUUAUUUCUGAUUAUUUCAUUCUUUUGGAUUUUCUCCCACAUCAUUCAUUCAUUCAUAAUCAUAUUAUAUAAAUAAUUAUUCAUAAAUUUAUACAUUCUUUUGUAUAUUCUUUGGUACUUAUUAUGAGUCCUUAGAUAUCAAUGACAUGAAUGAAACUACUGCAAACUCAGAUUUUCUACUUGAGCGAGGCAUGUGUUUAGACGGAUCUCAUGACUUUGGAAAUGACAUAGAUCGUAGCUUAUCUCCAGACUUGGUAAGGAGGGUGGAACAAGAAGAUAGACACAUUCUACCUAUCAAGGAAUCAUUAGAAAUUGUGAGCUUGGUGAAUAUUAGAAUUGACUUGACCGUAAAGACGAAGCAAGACCUUGUUGAGUUACCUCUAGAGUUCAAAGAUGUCUUUGUAUGAUCAUACCAGGAUAUGCCCGAAUUAAUCGCUGAUAAUAAAAUCUGCACAGCAGCACAUUUUCAGAAAUUUGCAGUGAACGAUGCAAUUCUUUGUCAGGGCAAAUGCCUUUCUCGUUGACUCAGCAUAGCUUUGCCCAUUUGAAGUUGAGCUUCCAUCUCUUCAAGUUCUAUGGGAUUUUAUCCUGAUUAAAGAGGGAGAUCAAAAGUUUUCUAUUGUAGUUUUGCCCCAGAAGGUUCUAUGAAGGAAAUCUGAUCAAAGAAGAUCCUUCGAAAGGGAUAACAAGGACUUGCCUAACCCUAUGAGUUCAUAUUCUAAAAAAAGGGCAAAAAGAAGGAAAAAAAAAAGAAAAAUCAAAGUCAAAAGAAAAAAAGAAAAAAAGAUCAAUCAAAGUCAAAAAUAAGAGAAAAAGAAAAAAAAAGAGAAAAGGAAAAAGAAAAGAAAAAGGAGAGGUCAAGGCGAAAACCCGCAAAGGGCGCUUUGACCAAAGGUGGAUUUGAGUUGAAAACCCAAAAAGGGCGACUCAAAUUUUGAGCGAAAUGGGGCAUGGACAUCACCAUUAUCGAAGACUUCUAAUGGGCAUUGCUUUAUUUUUUGUGAGGCUACUUCAUGGAUCAAGGUCAUCCUAUACCGAUACAGAAUUUCAAGAGAAUAACAUUGAAAAAUGCAUUGGACUUAAAUGAUAGCACGAUAACUGAGGUCUGAAAUCAAUUCAGAAGCAGAUACCACGUUUUGUCACUGAAUUACCUAAAGGUGAACAAGGACUGGCAUGGGAAAUUACUAUUUGCCCUCAUUGGUUGUCAAACAUCUGUACUGGGUUAACACCUCUCUUUUUGGUUUACAGGAUUGAGGAAGUUUUACCUAUUGAAAUCCCCUCAUUUCUUGUUGAAGGGAUCCAAUCGCGAUAUGAUCAGUUGGCCCUAGGAAAAGGUUUAAAAGCUAUUCAUCAAGGUCAGAUGUACCAAAAAUAGAUGAUACGAGCCCAUGACAAACAAGGUCGUCCCAAAGAAUUCCACAAGAGGGCUGGAUGUUGAAAGAAGAUCCUUCCUCAACGAAAGGAUUCUAGAGGGAAAUGAAUGCCAAACCGGGAAUGUUCCUAUGAUGUAAAGAUGACCAUUUUUAGAGGUGUACUGAUCCAGAGUGAGAUUGCUAAUCCUAUAAACUCGGAUCCAGUCAAGAAAUACGUCAUUUAAAGGAGAAUAAAGGACCAAGGUGAAAACCCGCAAAGGGUACUUUGAGUAAAAAAAUGAAAAGUGAAAAAUGAAAAAUGGAGAGGCUAAGGGGAAAACCCGCAAAGGGCAUCUUAGGCCAAAGGGGAUUUGAGUUGAAAACCCGAAAAGGGCGGCUCAAAUAUUGAUCAGAAUGGGGCAUGAGGUGAUCAGAGCAAUUCAAAUUUUGAUUAGAUUGGGGCAUGUGGUGAUCUUGUUAUACCUGAAUUAACAAGAAAGGGUAGGCGACAUCUUGGGGCAUCAACAAAGCAAUAUAGAUCUCCUAAACACAUGUCAAACUCAGAAUGGUCUUUAGAAAGUUUGUACAAAGAAGUUCAAGCUGUGAUAUCUGGGGCACCCAAUUCUCAUAUUAUUGAAUUUGGUAUUCUUGGAAUACUUCUUUCUUUUCCAAGAUACAUGUUCCAAUCAAUUCCUAUUUUUAUUCUUGCUAUCCUUGAUAAUUUAUUCAUUUCUAGCUAUGCUCUCAAAUCAAUUCUAUUUUAUCUAUCGUUAUGAUCUUUUGCAAGUAUGUUGCAUUAGAAUAAUGAUUAAUAGACUAAUAAUACUUUUGCAAUGGAAGUUUUGCAUAUUACUCUAAAAGUUUCAAAAUAAUACAGGAACCUGAAACAGGACUAUUGUUUAGAACGCACCAAGUUUAAAGGAUGGAAAAAUAAGAAGGAAAAGUUUAAAUUAAGACUUUCUCUUUGGAUUUUGUUGUCAAAAACAUUGAUUGAACAAAAUGACAAGAUGUCGUGUUGGUGACAAAGCUUCAAUGAACAAACAAGCAAUGAUCACCGAGUGAUAAGAAAAGGUUUUCUCGGAGAAGAAAAUUUUGCAAUUGUGCAUGAGCAUUUGAUAUGACACACUGGGAAUGGUGUAGGAGACCAAAGAGUUUCACAUUCUGUAUCAUUGAAUUAUGAUAACAGAGGAUCGAGAAAAAGGCCAGGUCUUUCUAUCCUUGGGUUAUAGAGGGAGAAAGAUUAUUCAAAUUUUGUAUCCAGUGGAUUGAACCUUGAAGAUUAUAGUGGGGGCAAUCCGACCAAGUAAGAGAUGAGCAUUACCAACCGGACAAGAUAGCAUUCAGAUGCGAUGGCAAUAAAGCCUUAUUUAGCAAGGGGCAAUAACAACUCAAACAUUGAAAGAUCAUUUUCAAUUUGCAUUCAUGCAUACACAUUUAGCCAGGAUAUUUUGAUUCAUUUUGAUCAUAAUCACUAGGCAUAAAUAGGUUCAUAUAGGUCAUGUUCCCUAGAGAACAGACCAAUGAAGUUGCAGAUCUUGCUUUCCUGCACUGACAGCGAAACAGAUCGAAGAAACCAUAGAUUGCAAUUCAAAGAUUGAAGCCACAACGGUGAAUCUUACUCCCAGGAAAUGCAGCGGAGCAGAUUGAAGCUACAACAGCGAAUCUCACUUCCCUGACAUUGCAAUUCAAAGAUUGAAGCCACAACGGUGAAUCUUACUCCCAGGCGAUGCAGCGGAGCAUAUUGAAGCUACAGCGGCGAAUCUCACUUCCCCGACAUUACAAUUUAAAAUAUUAAAGCUACAACAGUGAAUCUCACCUCCUUAGCGAUGUAGCGGAACAGAUCGAAGCUACGACGUUGAAUCUCUCUUCCCUGACAUCGCAGUUUAAAAGAUCGAAGCCACAACGGUGAAUCUUACUUCUAGGCGAUGCAGCGGAACAGAUUGAAGCUACAAUAGCGAAUCUUGCUUCCUCGACAUUGCAAUUCAAAAGAUCGAAGCCACAAUGGCGAAUCUUGCUUCCAAACGGUGCAGCAGAACAGAUUGAAGCUACGACGGUGAAUCUCACUUCCCCGACAUUGCAAUUCAAAAGAUCGAAGCCACAACGGCGAAUCUUAUUUCCCAGGCAGUGUAGUUGAAUAGAUUGAAGCUACAACAGUGGAUCUUGCUUCCUCGACAUUACAAUUCAAAAGAUUGAAGCUACAACAGCGAAUCUUACCUCCCUGGCGAUGCAGCGGAACAGAUUGAAGCUACAACGGUGAAUCUCACUUCCCCGACAUUGCAAUUCAAAAGAUUGAAGCCACAACGGUGAAUCUUACUUCCCAAGCGAUGCAGUGGAGAAGAUUAAAGUUACAACGGCGAAUCUCACUUCCCCGACAUUGCAGUUCAAAAGAUUGAGGUCACAAUGGCGAAUCUUACUCCCAGACGAUGCAGCAGAGCAGAUUGAAACUACAACGGCGAAUCUCACUUCCCCGACAUUGCAAUUCAAAAGAUUGAAGCCACAACAGUGAAUCUUACUUCCCAAGUGAUGCAGCGGAGCAGACUGAAGCUACAACGAUGAAUCUCACUUCCCCGACAUUGCAAUUCAAAAGAUUGAAGCCACAACGGUGAAUCUUACUUCCCAAGUGAUGCAGCAGAGCAAAUUGAAGCUACAACGGUGAAUCUCACUUCCCCGACAUUGCAAUUCAAAAGAUUGAAGCCACAAUGGUGAAUCUUACUUCCCAAGUGAUGCAGCGGAGCAGACUGAAGCUACAACGGCGAAUCUCACUUCCCCGACAUUGUAAUUCAAAAUAGUGAAGCCACAAGGGUGAAUCUUACUUCCCGAACAUCAUAGUUAAAUAGAUCAAAGAUGGCAGAUUUUACCUUCCUGUUACUACAGUAGAGUACAUUGAAGCUAGUAAUUCUAUCUCCCUGGUUGGCAGUGGAAUAGAUUGAAGAGGCAACAAGUCUUAUCUCUCUGACAUUGCAGUGGAGCAGACUAGAACCACAAUCUCAUCCCCUUGAAGUUGCUGCAAAGAAGAUUGAAGCUACAAGUCGGAUCUUGUUGAAGUGCAGUGGAGUGGAUUGAAGCGACAAGACACAGUAGACUGGAAUGAGGCUACCUGAAGAAGAGAAGCGUCAAGAGAAGUUGAGACUCGACGAGCCCGGGCAAAAUUGGUCUUUCUUAGUUUUUGCCCUGUUCUCGUUACAAGACAACGAGCAAAGAGGGGCAGCUGUACAAGCUCAAUUUCGCCCGGGCCUAAACAAACAAAAUAGGCCCAUACCAGCAAAACCCAAAACAAAACAGCAGACCCAAAAUUAAAACAAACUUAACCCAAACCCUCUACCCAAUUACAACCGGCCCAAUAACCCAACUACCCAAAUAGCCCAGAUCAGAAAAACAAUCAGCAACCCUAACCCUAGGUGCGCCGCACCUAGGGUCUUCUGACACUUAACCUACCAGCUGCCACCGCCGAACGUUAGUCACCAUCGCCCAUUGUCCUCACCUGCUCCACCUGCAAACACGCAAGCAAAAAAGGACAAAACAACAGUAGAAACAAUAGAAAAAUUGUAAAAUGGCUAUUUAAAAGCCAUUCAAACAGAUCUAACAGAGGGGGGAAUCGGUUUUAAAAAACCAAUCUUUGUAUCUGUAAAAACAUUCAAGAAAUAAAAUACAACAUUUUCAAGAAGAUAUAUUUUCUAUUUAGGUAUUUACUUAGGUUAUUUUACUCCUAUUUUUAUUUAUUUUUUAUUUUAUAUACGAAAACAAAAAGAAAAGGGAAAAAAGAACUCACCGGGACUCGCUCCGUCUUCUUGCCAUCGGAGGCUCCUUCUCCGAUGACAGAAUAGAUUGAAGAGAGGCAUAGCGACCUUUCCCCUUUAUUUUCGGUUGUUUUGAGGCUAGAUCUGAACUUAGGGGUCGAGAUAAAAAAAUACGUUUUUUUACCUUCGCCGGCCACCGUGCACGGCGGCGCCGACGCCGGUGACCAGAAUCCGGCACGGUGGACAUCGGUCAGGUUAUGAACUAAAGGGGUGAGGUUUUUUUUGAGUGAAAGUUGUUUUUUUAGGGGGAAGCAGAUAAUGAAGCUUUUUUAAAAAAAUUUGAUUUAUAAAAGAAUAAAACGGCGUCGUUUUAGGCCCUAGCUCCAGGCGCCAAAACGACGCCGUUUAGGAGCCGACCCGAUCCGCCCGACCCGUUCCAGGCCAAGAUCUGCGUGUUUUUGAGCGGAAGGGCUAAUUCCGUUUUCAGCCCUUCUGCUUUUUAAUGAUUUCGCAAUCAAGUUCUUUUUGUUUUUUAAUUUCGCCCUGCAAUAUUUUUUUCUUUACAAUCUGGUCCGCUUUGAAGCUAUGCAUUUUGGAGGGACGGGAUUAUUUCCCUGUUGGUCCUCCGUCUUUCAGCGCGCGUUACAAUUUAGUCCCUUUUGUCCUUUUUUAUUUCAAUUUCGCCCCGUAUUUUUGGCUUUUACUUCGGUUUAGUCCCUUUUUUAGCAAUUUUAUUAUUAUCAUCUUUUAUUAUUUAUUAUUAUUAUUAUUGUUACUUAUCAUAUUAUUAUAUAAUAGCUUAAAUAUACAUACACAUAUACCUUUUUCUUUAUAAUUUAUUUAAUAUAUAAAUACAAAAAAUAUAAAAACCAAAUAAAUAAAGCCAAGAAUUAUAACCCAAUAAUAAACAAAAAAUGGCCCAAAUGUCAUUAGCCCAAUACCCAUUGCAAACCCUAGCCCAAAUAACCUAAACCUAACAGCAAACAAAAUCUAGCAGCCUCCAGCACAACAUCCAGUCGUCGCACGACUCUGAACCAGCCCUCCGCCACGUCUGCCUACAAAACGGACUAGGGGAGUCCAAUACCAACACAAACGCAGUGUAAAAGUAGAGAAAAUAGGAAAAUUUCGAGCUAUAAAAGGCCCCGAUUCUAUGUAUGAUUUUUUACGAAUAAAUAAAAAAGGAAAACGGAGAAAUCAAGUCAAGUACCAGUCUUUUACAAAGGUAGUUUUUUAUUUCGGCUUAUUUAUUUAUUUGUUCUAAAGAAAACGAAAAUAAAAAGGUUAAAAAUCAUACAUUUAUUGCGGAGGAGGUGCCGAUUCCGAUGAAAAUUGGCGUUCCAUGGGUCCGGGGAUUGAAAAAACCAAAAAAAUGGUGACUUUUCAUUUUUCGGCCAUCGUGGGCAGCGGCCACCGCGGUGGUCCGACGACCGGAUAUUGGCCGGAAAGGGGAAAGCUGAGAGAGAGUUGAGAGAAAAGAGAGGUUUUUUUUAAAAGGAGGCUACAAAUGUAUUUUUAGGGUUUUUUUUACUUAUAUAGACACCCCAAAACGACGUCGUUUUGGGCUUGGCUUUUGAUGCCCAAAACGACGUCGUUUCAGGCCUUUGACCCGGGCGGUGACCUGACCCAGGGGAAGGAUCUGCGUGUUUUUGGAAUUUGAGUUAUUCACCCUUUCUGUCCUUUUUCUUUUUUGGUUUAUUUUAAUUUAGUCCUUUUUUCUUUUAUUAAUUUGACCAUUAAACUUUUACAUGUUUCAAUUUAGUCCCUGGCUCGCUAGAAGGGACAUGUGUCCAGGGAAUCGGGCUAUUUGCCCAUUUUGUCCUCAACCUUUGCGCGCCAUUUGACUUUAGUCCUCUUUAUUUAUUUAUAUAUGAUUUUUACCCUUUAAUUUCAUUUUUUGUCCCGAUUUAGUCCCAAACCAGUUAGACUUCAAUUUAUUUUUGCCGAUUAUUUAUUUAUUUAUUUAUUUUAAAUUUUUCUAUUAUUAUUUACUUCAGUUUUUUUAUAUAUUAUGCAUUUUAAACUAUAUUAAAUUAUUAUUCAUUUAUAUAUCCAUAUGUUAUUGGUUUUAAUUCUAGUUGUAUUUUAAAUUUCGUCUAUAUAUUAUUUAUUAUAAGCUAUAUACAUUUUCUCCUAAAAUUAUUAUUACUUAUUUUAUAUUUUCCUAUAAUAUAUAUACCACAUCUUUAAAUACCUUUAUAUAUAUGUAUUAUGUUAAAUAUGUGUGACAUUUUUUUUAAAUGAUUUUAUUUAAACUUGCUCCAUAUAUGUUUUCUUAUUUUGAAUUAAUUUGCAUACUCGUUGUUUCUAAAAAAGGGUUUUUUUUUUAAAAUUGUUCUUAUAAUAUAUUUGUUGACACCAUUUUUUUAUAAAACGGAGUCGACUUGGAUUUUAAAAAUGAAAACAAAAAACGGGAGUCGCCACCAAUUCUUUUUGAUGAGGUGUGACCGGAUCACCUCGAAAAGUGGUUGUUUUUAAUAAACGAUUUAAUUUUAUUAAAACAACAAUUUUGGUCCACGAAAUUUAGAAAAACGGGUUUGGGAGUCAGUUACAAACGAGGAAGGGUUAGCACCCUCGUAACUCCCAAAAUUGGUACCUAGUUGAUUAGUUAAUGUCGUAGUGCCGAGGAUUGAAAAUUUUAAAGAGAUUUAAAAUACGAUCUUUUAUUGAAACAUUUGUAUAAAUCAAAUUACUCGUUAAGACUCUCCCAUUUCAGAAAAAGAAAACAUCACACCCAAUGCGUUAGGGCACGAUAUUUUACCUCUUCAGAAAUGAGCUUGUCUAAAAACUUGCACAAUAUAAUUUAAAAGGGUAUUCAAUUGUUUAAGUCAUGUGAAAAUAUUGCAACCCAAUACGUUAGGGCACAAUUUCUCAAAAUAUUAAACAUUGAAUAUUGCAUUUUUUAGAAAAAUCCUCGUCUCGAGAAAACAACGUGUCAUAUCCAAUGCGUUAGGACACAACGUAUUGAAUUCUCGAUAAUGAGCUAUUUAUUUAUGUUUUUGUUUUAAAGAGCACUCUCGAUUAUUUAGAUUCAACGAAGAAAAUUGGAACCCAAUACAUUAGGGCUCAAUUCUCUCGAUGAUCCCAAAUACCGAGUAUUGCUUUUAUUUUGAAAUUUUCAUUUUUUUGACAAAUCCGAGUAAAAAGAUGUAACGUAACAACAAUGAUGAUAAUGUGAAUAAAAUAAUACAAGCAAAGGCUAUAAAAUAAAAUAAAAUAAAUAAAAAGACAAACUAAUAAAGUACACCAUAACAGCAUACAAACAAUAAUAUUAAAGCAUUCAUUCUAAAUAAUGUGAAUACAAAUAAAGAAAUAAAUAAAAAAAUGAAUAAGAUGAUGUAAAUGUAAAAGAUGCAUACAUAUGUAUACAUUUUAAAAUUAUUAUAUAUAAAAAUGUAAACAAGCAAAUGCAUAUACAUAUGCGUAUAUAUAUAUUAUAAAAGGGGUACAAAAGUAUGUUUUUAUAUACAUGUAUUUAUAAAAUGCGUAUAGAUAUAUAUAGAUGUGCAAAUAUAUGUGUAUAAAAAUUAUAGAAUAUAAAAAAUAUGUAUAUAUAUUUUUGUAUGUAUAUAAAAAUAAGUUAUAAAAAAAUGUACGUGCAUAAUACAUAUAUGUAUAUAUAUAUAGAAUAGAAAUAGAACUAAAAAAUAAUAUAAAACUAAUUAAUAUAUUAACAAAAUAGUAACGAACAAAUGAAAGGAAAAUAAAACUAAUAAUAAUAAUAAUAAUAAUUGCAGUGAUAAUAACAUUAAAAUAAUUAACUAAAUAAUAAAAUUGCUGAAAACACAGACUAAAUUGAAAUAAAAACGAAAAUACUGGGCGAAUUCGAAAUAAAAAAAAUGAAAAGGAUUAAAUUGCAACACGUGCAAAAAGAGAGGGACCAAAACAAUAAAUAAACCAAAGCCCCAAAACGCGGCGCUGCAAUGGACUAAAAUGUAACAAAAGUAAAACCAUACAGCUAAAUUAAAAUAAAAUAAAAGAAGGAAAAAGGACCAAAUUGCAACACGUUGCAAAAGCGGAAGGACCGCGCACGGAAAUAACCUUUUCUUAGAAAACACGCGGAUCCUUGGCGGAGCGGGUCGGGUCGGCCCGAUCCAGGGUCAAAACGAAGUCGUUUUGGGGAUUAAGGACGCCAACCAAAACAGCGUCAUUUUGUUUGGCUAUAAAAGCCAAAAAUUUUUCAAAAAAAAAAAUCAUUCAUUCCUUCUCACACCAAAAAAAAUCUGAUAUGCUCUCCCCCUCCCUUUCUCUGCUCCUCUCUCCGGCCAAGGGCCUGCUCAUCGCUUGUCGCGCCGUCCGCCGAUCGCCGAUGCCAGCGCCGCCGUGUGUGGCAGUGCGUGGCGGCCAGCAAGUGGACGACCCUAGGUGCGGCGCACCUAGGGUUAGGGUUACUUUUUUUUGUUGUUUUCUGAUUUGGGCCAUUUGGGUAGUUGGACUUUAGAUUUUGGGCUUGAGAUAGUUGGGUCUGUGAUUGGGGUAUUGGGCUAAUGUUUUGGGUUUGGCCCCCGGGUAAAUUUGGGCUGUACAAUAUUUUUUUUAAAAUUUCUUUUACAUUGUUUGCUUGAUGUUGUUUUGUAUUAUUUAGAUUUUCCCACUAUUCAUCUCAUUUUGGUAUGAAUUUAGAUAUUAAAAUAACUUGUUAUGUGGUAUAAGAGAUUAUGGUCUUUAUGUAUAUUGUAUUGCUUAUUUGUAUCUAUUGAUUCUUAAUCACCCAUUAGCAUGUAUUUUAGCUUACGAACUAUCAUUUCAUGUUAUAUAUCGUUAUCUCAUUGUGUUUCAUUUGUAAAAAGGGAUUAUGCUUCAUUAAGACAUUAAAAUCAUUUUAUCCGCAAGUUUUCAAAAUAUUCGGCGUUCAAGAUUCUCGAGAAGAUUGUACCCUAACUUACUGGGCUUCAAUUUUCUCCGUUGAAUUUAAAUAGCCGAGUAUCCUUUUUUCAAUAAAAUCGUAAACAUUUUAAGAUUAAAACUUACUCUCGGGAAUUCAAAGGGUUGUGUCCCAACUCACAGGAUACGACAUUUUGUUAUCUCGAGAUGAGAUUUUUUAACAAAAGCAAAUUAGUGUGUGAUCGUCAAAACUUCAAAGAAUCGUACCCUAACUUACGAGGUUUCGAUUUCUUCAUAGAAACAAGAUGACCAAACUUUUUUUUAGUUUUCAAAUUAAUUAAUUUCAAUAAAGAUUUUAAAAGGAGAAUCGUUUUUUUAAUCUUUUUCAUUCGACCUUAAGACAUUAAAUAAUUAAUUCUGUACCAAUUUUGGGCGUUACGUGGGUGCUAAUCUUUCCUCGUACGUAACUAACUCCCGAACCCAUUUUCUAAAACUUGCAGACCAAAAUCAUUUUUUAGGUGAUCCAAUCACACUUCAAUAAAAGAUUGUUGGCGACUCCCAAUUUUCAUUUUUAAGUCGACAACUAAUUUUUGUUUUUUAAAAAAUGGUUUCGACAUUCAUAAUGCUUAAAACUAUUUAUAAUCCUUCCUCAACUUUUAAAUGGGAGAAUAAAUGCACUUCAACGUGCUUAAAGUCACGUCCUCAUGCAUUGAUAACAAUGACAACAUUAAUGUUUACUGAGCUAACACUUAACCAACUUUUUUAAUAAUGUCUUCUAUGCUUAAUGCAAUGGCGACCAAAUCAAGCACUAGUGCAAUUAAUAGAUUAUUAUCUAAUUUUCAUAUUUAUAUCUAAUUUUCAUAAAAAAAAUUCUAUUAUCUAACUAUUAUAUAAAUCUUCUCAAAUGAUAGAAAUAUUGAUAGAAAUCAAGUACAUUAACUAAUACAUUUUUAUUGAUGAUUUCAAAGUUAUCAAAUGCUAGUCGAAACAAUAAUAUCGAAAAUGAAAGAUCAUGAAAUUUGGGUAGCAAAAGCAAUUUAAUGAUUGCAUUAAAAUUUACAACUUAUUUUUUCGUACAAGGAAUUAUAGCUCUUUUCAUUUUCCUUAUGCACACUAGACUUGUUGGUUGACUGGGUCGGAUCUGGUUUAGAUCGAACAUAAGCAUGUUAUUAAAAUAUUUUAUACUUGUUCAAACCUAACCCGGCAACCCGGCAUAUAAUAAUCCGGUUUCGGAAUUCAACCACGAUUUUGUAUUACAUAUUUUGAGGCUAUGAUUCUGAGGUUACUAUUCUAAAGUUACUUGGAGACUAAUUUUAUUAUAAUGUCAAUAAAAAAACUUGCAUCAAACUUUUCAUACUGACUUAACAGUAGGACUAAAAAAUUAAAUUUCAAAAAGGUUAGUAACUAAAUUAAAAAAGUUUUAAUUAAGUGACAAAAAUAAAAAUAAUCUAGUAAUUGAAAAACGUAGUUUACCCAAUAAAAAUACUAGAAAGGAAGGUUGAAAUUUAUAAUAAAGUAACUCCAAAAUCAAGCAUCACAUGAACGUACAAGCAGUUUGGAGGUAGCUUGAAUUAUCAAAAGAAACUCUUCCAGAGGAAGACUUUGAUUUAGAUACAUGGGAGAGUACUUGAAAGCCUUGAGAAGCCAAUGUUGAUGAGCUCAUAGUAACUCGUUAUUGCAGGCACACUACAUAUGAUGAAACAAACUACAUAAUAGUCUUGAAAAAAACACAAAUCAUGGGCAGGUAAUGCAACUUCAUGAUCUGGAUUUUAUUUAUUCGCAUUACAAUUUCGCCAAUGGAUCCUAUAGCUUGCCCAUUGCAUUCAAGGUUUAGUUGGCAACUCCUGGCAGCCGCGACCGCGUUUAUAAACGGAACAGGGUGGGUCCAUAGAA